rnacentral:misc_RNA from 1 species
AACGCACAUUGCGCCUAUUGGUAUUCCAAUAGGCAUGCCUGUUCGAGCGUCAUUUAAACCUUCAAGCUUUGCUUGGUGUUGGGUGUUUGUCCGCAGUUUCUUCUGCGGACUCGCCUUGAAUGCAUUGGCAGCCAGCAUUUGGUGUGUUGGAGCGCAGCACAUUUUGCGUUCUCGGCCACAGUAGCGGGCGUCCAGAAAGCUUAUUUCAACGUUUGACCUCGGAUCAGGUAGGGAUACCCGCUGAACUUAA